rnacentral:rRNA from 1 species
AUUGAACGCUGGCGGCAUGCUUUACACAUGCAAGUCGAACGGCAGCGGGGUAGUGCUUGCACUACUGCCGGCGAGUGGCGAACGGGUGAGUAAUAUAUCGGAACGUACCGAGUAAUGGGGGAUAACCAAUCGAAAGAUUGGCUAAUACCGCAUACGUCCUGAGGGAGAAAGCGGGGGAUCGCAAGACCUCGCGUUAUUCGAGCGGCCGAUAACUGAUUAGCUAGUUGGUGGGGUAAAGGCCUACCAAGGCGACGAUCAGUAGCGGGUCUGAGAGGACGAUCCGCCACACUGGGACUGAGACACGGCCCAGACUCCUACGGGAGGCAGCAGUGGGGAAUUUUGGACAAUGGGGGCAACCCUGAUCCAGCCAUGCCGCGUGUAUGAAGAAGGCCUGCGGGUUGUAAAGUACUUUUGUUAGGGAAGAAAAGGGAAGUGCUAAUACCACUUUUUGCUGACGGUACCUAAAGAAUAAGCACCGGCUAACUACGU